rnacentral:rRNA from 1 species
GACGAACGCUGGCGGCGUGCUUAACACAUGCAAGUCGAACGAGAAGAGAUGAGAAGCUUGCUUCUUAUUGAUUCGAGUGGCAAACGGGUGAGUAACGCGUAGGCAACCUGCCCUUCAGAUGGGGACAACACUUCGAAAGAGGUGCUAAUACCGAAUGACGUAUCCAUUCCGCAUGGAGAGGAUAGCAAAGGCCGGGCAACCGGUCACUGAAGGAUGGGCCUGCGUCUGAUUAGCUGGUUGGUGGGGUAACGGCCCACCAAGGCGACGAUCAGUAGGGGUUCUGAGAGGAAGGUCCCCCANAUUGGAACUGAGACACGGUCCAAACUCCUACGGGAGGCAGCAGUGAGGAAUAUUGGUCAAUGGACGGAGUCUGAACCAGCCAAGUAGCGUGCAGGAUGACGGCCCUAUGGGUUGUAAACUGCUUUUGUGCGGGGAUAAAGUGUGGGACGUGUCCCAUAUUGCAGGUACCGCAUGAAUAAGGACCGGCUAA